CCUACGGGGUACAGCAGUGGGGAAUAUUGCGCAAUGGGCGAAAGCCUGACGCAGCGACGCCGCGUGAGGGAUGAAGGUCUUCGGAUCGUAAACCUCUGUCAGCAGGGAAGAACGGUCACUGUGCUAAUCAGCAGUGAAUUGACGGUACCUGCAAAGGAAGCACCGGCUAACUCCGUGCCAGCAGCCGCGGUAAUACGGAGGUGUCGAGCGUUAAUCGGAGUUACUGGGCGUAAAGCGCUCGUAGGCGUUAUGUCAAGUCAAGGUGAAAUCCCCGCGCUCAACGUGGGAACUGCCUUUGAAACUGGCAAACUGGAGUGUGUGAGAGGAUAGUGGAAUUCCAGGUGUAGGAGUGAAAUCAGUAGAUAUCUGGAGGAACAUCAGUGGCGAAGGCGACUAUCUGGCACAUAACUGACGCUGAGGAGCGAAAGCGUGGGUAGCAAACAGGAUUAGAUACCCGUGUAGUC
rnacentral:rRNA from 1 species